GACUACCGGGGUAUCUAAGCCUGUUUGCUCCCCACGCUUUCGCUCCUCAGCGUCAGGAAAGGUCCAGAGAACCGCCUUCGCCACCGGUGUUCCUCCUGAUAUCUGCGCAUUCCACCGCUCCACCAGGAAUUCCGUUCUCCCCUACCUUCCUCAAGUCUGCCCGUAUCGAAAGCAAGCCCACAGUUAAGCUGCAGGUUUUCACUUCCGACGCAACAAACCACCUACGAGCCCUUUACGCCCAAUAAAUCCGGACAACGCUCGCACCCUACGUAUCACCGCGGCUGCUGGCACGUAGUUAGCCGGUGCUUCUUCCCCAGGUACCGUCUACAUUCGCCCCUGGUGAAAGCGGUUUACAACCCGAAGGCCGUCAUCCCGCACGCGGCGUUGCUGCAUCAGGCUUUCGCCCAUUGUGCAAUAUUCCCCACUGCAGCCCCCCGUAGG
rnacentral:rRNA from 1 species